rnacentral:rRNA from 1 species
CCGACUUCAGGUACCCCAGACUUCCAUGGCUUGACGGGCGGUGUGUACAAGGCCCGGGAACGUAUUCACCGCGCCAUGGCUGAUGCGCGAUUACUAGCGAUUCCAGCUUCAUAGAGUCGAGUUGCAGACUCCAAUCCGAACUGAGACCGGCUUUCGAGAUUCGCAUCCUGUCACCAGGUAGCUGCCCUCUGUACCGGCCAUUGUAUUACGUGUGUGGCCCAAGACGUAAGGGCCGUGAUGAUUUGACGUCAUCCCCACCUUCCUCUCUACUUGCGUAGGCAGUCCCAACAGAGUCCCCAACUGAAUGAUGGCAACUGUUGGCAGGGGUUGCGCUCGUUGCAGGACUUAACCUAACACCUCACGGCACGAGCUGACGACAACCAUGCAGCACCUUGAAAAUUGCCCGAAGGAGGAUCUAUUUCUAAAUCUGUCAAUUCCCAUUUAAGUCUUGGUAAGGUUCCUCGCGUAUCAUCGAAUUAAACCACAUAAUCCACCGCUUGUGCGGGCCCCCGUCAAUUCCUUUGAGUUUCAUCCUUGCGGACGUACUCCCCAGGUGGCUAACUUAUCACUUUCGCUUGGUCUCUGAACCCGAAGAUCCAAAAACGAGUUAGCAUCGUUUACGGCGUGGACUACCAGGGUAUCUAAUCCUGUUCGCUCCCCACGCUUUCGUCCAUCAGCGUCAGUUAAAUCUUAGUGACCUGCCUUCGCAAUCGGUGUUCUAAGUAAUAUCUAUGCAUUUCACCGCUACACUACUUAUUCCAGCCACUUCAAAUUUACUCAAGGCCUGCAGUAUCAAUGGCAGUUUCAUAGUUAAGCUAUGAGAUUUCACCACUGACUUACAGGCCCGCCUACGGACCCUUUAAACCCAAUAAAUCCGGAUAACGCUCGCACCCUCCGUAUUACCGCGGCUGCUGGCACGGAGUUAGCCGGUGCUUAUUCGUACAGUACCUUCAGCUGCCCUCACGAGGGCAGGUUUAUCCCUGUACAAAAGAAGUUUACAAUCCAUAGAACCGUCAUCCUUCACGCGGGAUGGCUGGAUCAGGCUUCCACCCAUUGUCCAAUAUUCCUCACUGCUGCCUCCCGUAGGAGUCUGGUCCGUGUCUCAGUACCAGUGUGGGGGAUCUCCCUCUCAGGACCCCUAAAGAUCAUCGACUUGGUGGGCCGUUACCCCGCCAACUAUCUAAUCUUGCGCGUGCCCAUCUCUAUCCGCCGAGGCUUUCAAUGGCGACCGAUGCCGGACACCAUAUUAUGGGGUAUUAAUCUUCCUUUCGAAAGGCUAUCCCCCAGAUAAAGGCAGGUUGCACACGUGUUACGCACCCGUACGCCGCUCUCUGGAUAGCAAGCUAUCCAUACCGCUCGGCUGCA